AUUGAACGCUGGCGGCAGGCCUAACACAUGCAAGUCGAGCGGAUGAUGGGAGCUUGCUCCUGGAUUCAGCGGCGGACGGGUGAGUAAUGCCUAGGAAUCUGCCUGGUAGUGGGGGACAACGUUUCGAAAGGAACGCUAAUACCGCAUACGUCCUACGGGAGAAAGCAGGGGACCUUCGGGCCUCGCGCUAUCAGAUGAGCCUAGGUCGGAUUAGCUAGUAGGUGAGGUAAAGGCUCACCUAGGCGACGAUCCGUAACUGGUCUGAGAGGAUGAUCAGUCACACUGGAACUGAGACACGGUCCAGACUCCUACGGGAGGCAGCAGCGGGGAAUAUUGGACAAUGGGCGAAAGCCUGAUCCAGCCAUGCCGCGUGUGUGAAGAAGGUCUUCGGAUUGUAAAGCACUUUAAGUUGGGAGGAAGGGCAGUAAGUUAAUACCUUGCUGUUUUGACGUUACCGACAGAAUAAGCACCGGCUGACUUCGUGCCAGCCGCCGCAGUAAAAC
rnacentral:rRNA from 1 species